GCUGCAACUUCGAUGCCUGAGGUGUUGACAGGGGACGAAAUGUCCCAGAUUGAUGACAUCACACUCUCAGCGAUCGAUUUUGGCCUACAAGGCUAUACGGGUACCCCCUCUGCAUCUAGGGCUCGUCCUAAGAAAAAGAAUUCCUCGAAGAUGCCAAAAUGUGUGAAG